ACAGUGCUGGAGAUAUCUAUGUGCCAGAACCGAGUGAUGCAUUAAAUGUUGGUGCUGAGGUGGUGGUAGUUCAGAUACCAGGGAGGGCAAUGAGCCACAGAUUCAAACCAUACCUGUUGGUCCUAGUAGGCCGACUGAGUUGGGUUCUCAAGUAGCACAUGAAGCUGGUGGAAGGAGUUAGGGUGUUGUGACACGUCCCUCCAGGGACCAAAGACCUCCUAAGCAUUUCACGUACGAGGUGUUUGGCCAACCAGCAUGCCGUAAGCUGAAUGUUAAUGCAUUAGAACAAUGGCUACCGGACUUCUGUAAACCAUUAUUCCUGCCCACAGAGAGAAGCUGCAUCGGGGCGAUCCAGUAGGUUUAGGAGGGGGGGAGAUGUAGCCCAAUGCAAAAUGGUAUAGCACCCUCUUGUGAUGAGCGGGACAGCACGCCUUUCGCUGUCUCGCUUGCUUGAUGCCAUGUUCUUCACGUGAUUUUAUCUUGUUACGUCAAAUUUUUGCCAAUCUAAAGCUAAUUUAUUCUUGUUCCGGUUAAGCCUGUGGCUCUCAGAUUGUGAUUGCAAGGGUUGUUGACCCACAUUGUUUGCGUAGAACAAUAUUAUGGUGAAGUGUGGAAUUCCCACAAGACAUCACAUCAGGACUGGUGGCAGUCAAGUUGAACUGUAGCUGAUAUGAGUGGGAGGCCACUCCAGAUAGGCCAUUGACCUCUGCCCUUAGACCUGAACUGUUGUCUGCAGGAACCACAGGCCAGGCUGUGCAGUUCAAUCAGUAUGGACCGGAUCUACAGUGCGGUACCUGAUUUCAGACGAGGAACCACCAGGCAAAUUGCACGGAUCCUCGAAGUGGGACUUGCUGUACCACCUGAAUCGACGAGGGACUGUGUUAUGAGAACUGAACUGUGGAUUCCCAAGCCUCCCUAGUGUUUGGACACUGACUGUUAUCAGAGUCAGAGCUGUAGCUCAACCGGUUGAAGAGUUUUCUUCUGCGCGCAUUUUUUUAUUUGAGAUCUCAAAGAAAUACUGGCCAUAUCCUUUAAUUGUCAAGGCUGUUAUUGUUAUAGUUCACUAAAGAUUAAAACAUUUUCUAGUGGUAAUUUAAA